AAGAACCUUCAUACUUAAUACCUCUAUCACUCCUCCACUCAACAGGUGAGGAAACCUCAGUCCAGUGAGAGCGGCAUGUGUGGGGAAGAGCCCAGGCUUGCUCUGACCUCUCUCUGGGGCCCCCCACUCCAGAAGGUUGGAACAGCAUUCCAGGAUGUGGAGGGGGCAGCAAUGUUUGUGUGCAGAGUGGCGAGGCCGACCUCCGAUGCGCUUCCCAUAGGAAGGGUGCAGUGGGGGGUGCUCACCCUGCCCAGGGAUGCUAUCUGCUCCAGGACUUGUUUAUCAGCCCACGGGGUGAUCGGCAUGACCUCAAUGGGAUAUGCCAGGCUGCAGGCUACAGUGCCGAGAAGGAGAAGACGGAGGCGGUGGUGAUGUCACCCAAGGAAUUAAGUAAGCAGGGGAGCUGAUAACAUCGUCCAGCC
rnacentral:lncRNA from 1 species